CCUACGGGGGGCUGCAGUGGGGAAUAUUGGACAAUGGGGGCAACCCUGAUCCAGCCAUGCCGCGUGUGUGAAGAAGGCCCUCGGGUUGUAAAGCACUUUCAGUGAGGAAGAACGCCUGGUGGUUAAUACCCAUCAGGAAAGACAUCACUCACAGAAGAAGCACCGGCUAACUCCGUGCCAGCAGCCGCGGUAAUACGGAGGGUGCGAGCGUGAAUCGGAAUUACUGGGCGUAAAGCGCGCGUAGGUGGCUUGAUAAGCCGGUUGUGAAAGCCCCGGGCUCAACCUGGGAACGGCAUCCGGAACUGUCAAGCUAGAGUGCAGGAGAGGAAGGUAGAAGUCCCGGUGUAGCGGUGAAAUGCGUAGAGAUCGGGAGGAAUACCAGUGGCGAAGGCGGCCUUCUGGACUGACACUGACACUGAGGUGCGAAAGCGUGGGUAGCAAACAGGAUUAGAUACCCCAGUAGUC
rnacentral:rRNA from 1 species